CAGUCGCCGCGGGGAAUACGAAGGGGGCUAGCGUCGUUCGGAUUUACUGGGCGUAAAGCGCACGUAGGCGGACUUUUAAGUCAGGGGUGAAAUCCCAGAGCUCAACUCUGGAACUGCCUUUGAUACUGGAAGUCUUGAGUAUGGUAGAGGUGAGUGGAAUUCCGAGUGUAGAGGUGAAAUUCGUAGAUAUUCGGAGGAACACCAGUGGCGAAGGCGGCUCACUGGACCAUUACUGACGCUGAGGUGCGAAAGCGUGGGGAGCAAACAGGAUUAGAUACCCCGGUAGUCCCUGUCUCUUAUA
rnacentral:rRNA from 1 species